rnacentral:rRNA from 1 species
UGCGAUUACUAGCGACUCCGACUUCACGUACUCGAGUUGCAGACUACGAUCCGAACUGAGAUCGGCUUUCUGGGAUUCGCUCCACCUCACGGCAUCGCAACCCUUUGUACCGACCAUUGUAGCAUGCGUGAAGCCCAAGACAUAAAGGGCAUGAUGAUUUGACGUCAUCCCCACCUUCCUCCGAGUUGACCCCGGCAGUCUCCUAUGAGUUCCCACCAUCACGUGCUGGCAACAUAGAACGAGGGUUGCGCUCGUUGCGGGACUUAACCCAACAUCUCACGACACGAGCUGACGACAACCAUGCACCACCUGUACACCAGCCCAAAAGGGCUGAACCAUCUCUGGCACAUUCCAGUGUAUGUCAAGCCUUGGUAAGGUUCUUCGCGUUGCAUCGAAUUAAUCCGCAUGCUCCGCCGCUUGUGCGGGCCCCCGUCAAUUCCUUUGAGUUUUAGCCUUGCGGCCGUACUCCCCAGGCGGGGCACUUAAUGCGUUAGCUGCGGCGCGGAACUC